AGCAGCAGUGGGGAUAUUGCACAAUGGGGGAAACCCUGAUGCAGCCAUGCCGCGUGUGUGAAGAAGGCCUUCGGGUUGUAAAGCACUUUCAGUAGGGAGGAAAGGUAAUAGUUUAAUACGCUAUUACUGUGACGUUACCUACAGAAGAAGGACCGGCUAACUCCGUGCCAGCAGCCGCGGUAAUACGGAGGGUCCGAGCGUUAAUCGGAAUUACUGGGCGUAAAGCGUGCGCAGGCGGUUUGUUAAGCGAGAUGUGAAAGCCCCGGGCUCAACCUGGGAAUUGCAUUUCGAACUGGCGAACUAGAGUCUUGUAGAGGGGGGUAGAAUUCCAGGUGUAGCGGUGAAAUGCGUAGAGAUCUGGAGGAAUACCGGUGGCGAAGGCGGCCCCCUGGACAAAGACUGACGCUCAGGCACGAAAGCGUGGGGAGCAAACAGGAUUAGAUACCCUGGUAGUCCACGCCGUAAACGAUGUCUACUCGGAGUUUGGUGUCUUGAACACUGGGCUCUCAAGCUAACGCAUUAAGUAGACCGCCUGGGGAGUACGGCCGCAAGGUUAAAACUCAAAUGAAUUGACGGGGCCCCCC
rnacentral:rRNA from 1 species